rnacentral:rRNA from 1 species
CACGCAGGCGGACUGAUAAGUCAGGGGUGAAAUCCCGGGGCUCAACCUCGGAAUUGCCUUUGAUACUGUCUGUCUUGAGUUCGGGAGAGGUUGGCGGAAUUCCUAGUGUAGAGGUGAAAUUCGUAGAUAUUAGGAAGAACACCAGUGGCGAAGGCGGCCAACUGGCCCGAUACUGACGCUCAUGUGCGAAAGCGUGGGGAGCAAACAGGAUUAGAUACCCUGGUAGUCCACGCCGUAAACUAUGGAUGCUAGCCGUUGGGGAGCUUGCUCUUCAGUGGCGCAGCUAACGUCUUAAGCAUCCCGCCUGGGGAGUACGGUCGCAAGAUUAAA